AUCAGGUCUUCAUAAUCUGUCUCCAUGGAACAUCUCCCUGGAUCCCCUCUCUUCCAAUGGACCUGUGCUAUGGUCUGAAAGUUUGUGUCUCCUGGAAAUUCAUAUGUUGAGAACUAACCCCAAGGCAAUGGUAUGAGGAGGUGGGGCCCUGGAGAGGUGAUGAUGUCAUGAGGGAUCCACCCUCCUGAGUGGGAUUUGUGUCAUUAUAAUAGAGGCCCCAGAGGCUGCCUUGUCCUUUCCACCUCAUGGGACACAGCAAGAAGGAGCCGUCUGUGAACCAGGAAGCAGGCCCUCACCAAACCUGCUGCCAUCUUGAUUUUGGACUUCCAGCUUCCAGAGCUGUAAUAAAGAAACUUCUGUUGUUUAUAA
rnacentral:lncRNA from 10 species